AACGAACGCUGGCGGCAGGCUUAACACAUGCAAGUCGAACGCUCCGCAAGGAGAGUGGCAGACGGGUGAGUAACGCGUGGGAAUCUACCUAGUUCUACGGAACAACAGAGGGAAACUUCUGCUAAUACCGUAUACGCCCUACGGGGGAAAGAUUUAUCGGAAUUAGAUGAGCCCGCGUAAGAUUAGCUAGUUGGUGGGGU
rnacentral:rRNA from 1 species